GAGAUCACCAUGCGGAACCAGCCUGGCCCUUAGAUGUGUGUGCUCGAGCCAGGAUCAGCCGGAGUCUGACAGCGCCUGCACCCCAACACGGUCGGAUUCCAGGACGCCAGUGACAAAACCAGUGCAUGGACAAGCAGCUUCCAUGCGUGUGCAUUUGAUUUUUAAAAACAAUACACAUUUCAGUGUUAACUUCCCCCCUCACCUGGCUUGAAACAUUUUCCCCAUUUUCCAGGGAAACAAACUCUACCAAAAGGUGCCGCCUGCAGGACCCCGGGCCCAGCCCCUUCUGGAGGUGGUGCUGUGUGGACUCCUCUGGGGCGGACCCGGGGCCAGCACAGGGCCCCUUCCCAGGCCGCCCUUCAGAUGCAGCUUUGCCACUGACCGUAUCUGCUGCUCAGAAAAUCAGCUUUCAUGUUUCAAGGCAGGGAAGGGCUUCCAGUCCCCUCCUCGAUUUCACACCGGGACACACACCUGGGUCAGGUGAGCAUGACACACAGCCCCCAGGAUGGGCACCCCACCCUGCAGAGCAGAGGCCAAUGCCGGUGGGGGCCGUGGCAGUGCCCUGGGCACACACCCUCUGCACACAGUGGGCUCAGCGCUUCCUUCUGUGCACCUGCCGGGAAAGCCUCCUGCAGGUCCCUGCCCGACUCCCAAGAAACCAGAGGCCAUUUCAGAGCCACCUUUAAUUGUACUUGUCACUUCACCAGGGGACAGCAGCAUGAAUGACACUCCUGCUGCGUGAUAUAUACAUAUACACAUAUGUACACACAUGGACACACCACAGCCCACACUCACAGCAUGUGACGACGCAAACUGUUGCUGGUAAGGACAGUAAAAAUGUAGCUUUUGCCAAUUCCACAGGAGAAUGAUUUACAACCAAAAUAACAGACACAGGCCAGUCCUGCGCCACAGGGGUUCACAGCUCUGAAUACUGGGAAAGGGUGAGAUCAGUCAUUUCGUGUCCCCUCACGAGAUGUCCCCACAGUAGGAUGCACUGAGUCAGAGCUAAGGGAGGGUGGACAAGGAGGCGCGGAAGCUGCCCCAGGACUCACCACCUCUUUUAAUUAUAGGGAAGCAGUCCACUCAAGAAAGAGAGAAAUAAAACCCGGGAGGAUCUUUUUCCUUAAAUUAAGACAAAGCCUUAAAGCCAACAGGGCAGAGCGCUGAAAACGGUUCUGCUUCCAGGUCAGGCAGGGGGAGGAACUCCAGGCCCCGAGUGUCCGGGCUUCCCGGGGGUCGUCUAAUCACAAUCACCACCGUGAGAAUGGCCAUAACCACGAUUUAUUAGGUUUCACAAAUUCUGCAGGGGACUGGGUUCCACAAACCUCCAGACCUGCUCCUCUUUCCCACCCUACCCCACCUUCUGC
rnacentral:lncRNA from 1 species